AGGUAGUUGAAGAGGCUUGCACUAAUCUUCUUCCAAAUGUUUUGUGCGAGUAUCUCUACAAUUUGUCGGAAAUAUUCACAAGGUUUUACACUAGCUGCCAGGUUGUUGGAUCUGCAGAAGAAACUAGCAGAUUGUUACUGUGCGAGGCAACAGCAGUGGUAAUGAGGAAAUGCUUCCAUCUACUUGGGAUCACACCUGUCUUCAAAAUAUAGAACUGCAUUAUUAUUAUUAUUAUUU